rnacentral:rRNA from 1 species
GUCUACGGCUAUGCCACCCUCAACAAGCCCGAUCCCGUCUGAUCUCGGAAGCUAAGCAGGGUCAGGCCUGGUUAGUACUUGGAUGGGAGACCACCUAGGAAGACCAGGUGCUGUAGGCG